rnacentral:rRNA from 6 species
UGGUAAUGAUGGCAGAGAGGUCACACCCGUUCCCAUACCGAACACGGAAGUUAAGCUCUCUAGCGCCGAUGGUAGUUGGGACCUUGUCCCUGUGAGAGUAGGACGU